UACGUAGGGUGCGAGCGUUGUCCGGAUUUAUUGGGCGUAAAGCGAGCGCAGGUGGUUUAAUAAGUCUGAUGUAAAAGGCAGUGGCUCAACCAUUGUGUGCAUUGGAAACUGUUAGGCUUGAGUGCAGUAGAGGAGAGUGGAAUUCCAUGUGUAGCGGUGAAAUGCGUAGAUAUAUGGAGGAACACCGGUGGCGAAGGCGGCUUCCUGGCCCGUUACUGACGCUGAGGCACGAAAGCCAGGGGAGCGAACCGG
rnacentral:rRNA from 1 species